ACCUGGACCCAGCGUAGACAAAGAGGUGUUUCUACUCCAUAUCUACCUGGACCCAGUGU
rnacentral:pre_miRNA from 1 species